GGUCCCAUCGGCUAGCCAGGUUAGGCCACAGGCCUCUCAAGCCUGAAGCAGGGGUUCAAAUCCCCUUGGGACCA
rnacentral:tRNA from 1 species